rnacentral:rRNA from 1 species
CAGCAGCCGCGGGAACACGUAGGUGGCAAGCGUUGUCCGGAAUUAUUGGGCGUAAAGGGCUCGCAGGCGGUUUCUUAAGUCUGAUGUGAAAGCCCCCGGCUCAACCGGGGAGGGUCAUUGGAAACUGGGAAACUUGAGUGCAGAAGAGGAGAGUGGAAUUCCACGUGUAGCGGUGAAAUGCGUAGAGAUGUGGAGGAACACCAGUGACGAAGGCGACUCUCUGGUCUGUAACUGACGCUGAGGAGCGAAAGCGUGGGGAGCAAACAGGAUUAGAUACCCCAGUAGUCCCUGUCUCUUAUAA